UUGUUGGGGGUCCUGGUAGAAGUUUGGCAGCCUGUCAGAGACACCUUCACCCUUGUGGAAGAAUGGGUACAUUCAACAGAACUGCCAAGAAUUAUGAAAAUUAGAAGUAAUCAAAUGCCCCUCAAGAUUUUUUCCUCUGCAGGAACAGAGGAAACAACUGCAGAAGUGGUAGCUCUAUAAACAAACAAACACUCCAGAGAGUUGCUCGUGUCGGAGGUUGGACUUCAAAUAUACAAAUUGAAACCUUCAGAGCCAAUUUAAUAUGCAUAAUGUGGUCUGAUGAAAAAUGGUAUAGCUAUCCUGGGGUGACCAGCACUACUUAGCAUUCAUUUGGAUUUCAAGCUCAAUGGAAGAAUGGUGCAAAAUUUGGAUACACAACAUUUAUCAACACAAUGAACAAAGUAAUGAACACAUCUGUCAAGGUGCCAU